CUCGGGCUCGGCGGCGGGGCGGGUCGGGCUCGGGGCAGCAGCGGAAGGCGCCGCUGUUCUCCGUCCUGGCGGCGGUAACUGGCGGCAAAGUUUGUUACUGAGCUGCUGCUGCGGCUCGGGCUGUGGGUUCGUUGUCGCUUCCUCUGGUUUACCAGGAGGAGGAUCUGCAGUUCGUCUCGGUCUCCCUCAAAGGAAGGAAAGAAAGCUUUCCUGUUAUCUUCCAACGUGCAGAGCUCCUCUCUGCGAAUUGGGAUGUCGGUGAUUUUUGGAAAUACAAUCAAAAGAUCCACACCCCGUUUCCAAGAAUGGGGUUUUGGAGUAACCCCAGCCCAGCCCUGAUCUCACUGUGACACAGAAGCCAGAGAGCUCACGCUGACCUGGAAGCGGCAGCUCUGAAGGGCAGCAUCAGGCACAGCGUUUCUGAACUCACGCCAAACUCAUAUGAACAAAUAAAUUCUAUCUUAACAGCA